rnacentral:rRNA from 1 species
UACGGAGGGUGCGAACGUUAAUCGGAAUCACUGGGCGUAAAGCGCGCGUAGGCGGUCUGUUAAGUGGGAUGUGAAAUCCCCGGGCUUAACCUGGGAAUUGCAUUUCAAACUGGCCGACUAGAGUACGGUAGAGGGAGGUAGAAUUUCCUGUGUAGCGGUGAAAUGCGCAGAUAUCAGGAGGAACACCGAUGGCGAAGGCAGGUCUCUGGGCCACUACUGACGCUGAGAAGCGAAAGCAUGGGGAGCGAACAGG